rnacentral:rRNA from 1 species
CUGGCUCAGGAUGAACGCUGGCGUGUGCUAAUACAUGCAAGUCGAACGCGUUGGCCCAAUUGAUUGAUGGUGCUUGCACGUGAUUGAUUUUGGUCGCCAACGAGUGGCGGACGGGUGAGUAACACGUAGGUAACCUGCCCAGAAGCGGGGGACAACAUUUGGAAACAGAUGCUAAUACCGCAUAACAGCGUUGUUCGCAUGAACAACGCUUAAAAGAUGGCUUCUCGCUAUCACUUCUGGAUGGACCUGCGGUGCAUUAGCUUGUUGGUGGGGUAAUGGCCUACCAAGGCGAUGAUGCAUAGCCGAGUUGAGAGACUGAUCGGCCACAAUGGGACUGAGACACGGCCCAUACUCCUACGGGAGGCAGCAGUAGGGAAUCUUCCACAAUGGGCGCAAGCCUGAUGGAGCAACACCGCGUGAGUGAAGAAGGGUUUCGGCUCGUAAAGCUCUGUUGUUAAAGAAGAACACGUAUGAGAGUAACUGUUCAUACGUUGACGGUAUUUAACCAGAAAGUCACGGCUAACUACGUGCCAGCAGCCGCGGUAAUACGUAGGUGGCAAGCGUUAUCCGGAUUUAUUGGGCGUAAAGAGAGUGCAGGCGGUUUUCUAAGUCUGAUGUGAAAGCCUUCGGCUUAACCGGAGAAGUGCAUCGGAAACUGGAUAACUUGAGUGCAGAAGAGGGUAGUGGAACUCCAUGUGUAGCGGUGGAAUGCGUAGAUAUAUGGAAGAACACCAGUGGCGAAGGCGGCUACCUGGUCUGCAACUGACGCUGAGACUCGAAAGCAUGGGUAGCGAACAGGAUUAGAUACCCUGGUAGUCCAUGCCGUAAACGAUGAGUGCUAGGUGUUGGGAGGGUUUCCGCCCUUCAGUGCCGGAGCUAACGCAUUAAGCACUCCGCCUGGGGAGUACGACCGCAAGGUUGAAACUCAAAGGAAUUGACGGGGGCCCGCACAAGCGGUGGAGCAUGUGGUUUAAUUCGAAGCUACGCGAAGAACCUUACCAGGUCUUGACAUCUUGCGCCAACCCUAGAGAUAGGGCGUUUCCUUCGGGAACGCAAUGACAGGUGGUGCAUGGUCGUCGUCAGCUCGUGUCGUGAGAUGUUGGGUUAAGUCCCGCAACGAGCGCAACCCUUGUUACUAGUUGCCAGCAUUAAGUUGGGCACUCUAGUGAGACUGCCGGUGACAAACCGGAGGAAGGUGGGGACGACGUCAGUCAUCAUGCCCCUUAUGACCUGGGCUACACACGUGCUACAAUGGACGGUACAACGAGUCGCGAACUCGCGAGGGCAAGCAAAUCUCUUAAAACCGUUCUCAGUUCGGACUGCAGGCUGCAACUCGCCUGCACGAAGUCGGAAUCGCUAGUAAUCGCGGAUCAGCAUGCCGCGGUGAAUACGUUCCCGGGCCUUGUACACACCGCCCGUCACACCAUGAGAGUUUGUAACACCCAAAGUCGGUGGGGUAACCUUU